UUACUAGAGUAGCACUCGCAUAUCAAUAAGCGGAGGAAAAGAAACUAACAAGGAUUCCCCUAGUAACGGCGAGUGAAGCGGGAAGAGCUCAAAUUUGAAAUCUUAAAGGGUUUCCCUUUACGAAUUGUAGUUUAAAGAAGUGUUUUCUGUUGAGGUUUUGGUAAAAGUUCUUUGGAAUAGGACAUCAUAGAGGGUGAGAAUCCCGUAUUUGACCUUUACUUUCAACUUUGUGAUACACUUUCAAAGAGUCGGAUUGUUUGGGAAUGCAGUCCAAAAUGGGUGGUAAAUUUCAUCUAAAGCUAAAUAUUGGCGAGAGACCGAUAGCGAACAAGUACCGUGAGGGAAAGAUGAAAAGAACUUUGAAAAGAGAGUUAAACAGUACGUGAAAUUGUCAAAAGGGAAGCGUUUGACACCAGUGUUGUUUUUCUGAAAAUCAAUUAAAGAACUGUUUAUGCUAAGUUGUUUAGACUUUAUCAGCUAUCUGUUUAGUUUUUAGGCUUUUCUUUAAUGCACUUUUCAGUUAACAAGUCAACAUCAAUUUCUUUUGCUGUAAAAAAGCUUGAGGAAGGUGGCUUGAGAUUCGUCUUAAGUGUUUAUAGCCUCUUGCCUAUGCAGUCGGAGAGAUUGAGGUCUGCAGCGUAGAUCCUUCGGGGCUAAAUGCAUUUGUGCUAAGUUAUAGCAUUUUAUAGACAACUUGUUGACUAUGAUUUGUCUUGUAGCUUACUCGCUUAUGUUAUUUUACCUACGCUUAGGAUGUUGAGCGCAUGUCUCUCUCU
rnacentral:rRNA from 1 species